UAAUCAUUUAUUUAGUGUUAUUGUCUGUUCCUGUUUUAUUUUGUACUUACCUUUGUCUCUGUCUUUCAGAUCCUGCUCCUCAUGUUUUCCUGCCUUGAGCCUCCCUGCCCUGAUUGUGCUCACCUGUGUCUCGUUAUCCCCUGAUUGUCUGUGUGUAUAUAUCUCUGUGUUUCCUCCCUCAUGUUGCCAGUUUGUAGUGUGUUCCUGUGUGUGUCACCUUGUUCCAGCAUGUUUCCUAGUAGACUUAUAGUGAUUUUUGAUCGUGCCUGCCUUACCGUUUUGCCUUUUGCCUGCUCCCUCUGGAUUUGUUUGCCUUGAAGAUUUGCCUUCCUGUGUACCGACCUGGACUGUAAUUAAACUCUGCCUUUUCCUGAACUCAGCCACGUGCUCCUUAGAAUAUCCAGACAUAUUGGCCACUGCACUGGCUUUCCAUGAGGACACUGUGGGUCGACUUGAUAUGGAAAACCCAGGUUGAUGCUAAUAAACAGAUGUUUAAGUCCUCCGGCAUUAAUAGUUGUUGAAGUGCAUGAUUGAUGCAUCAGUCAGUCUCCAAUGACGUUCUACCCUUGAAAAGUAUAUAAAAUACCCCCUAUAACAA